GGAAGUAUAGUUUAUCUAAGAACUCUGUUUUUGUAAUGCAGCGGUGUAGUUGGUCUGCUUCUU
rnacentral:tRNA from 1 species